AUUGAACGCUGGCGGCAGGCUUAACACAUGCAAGUCGAGCGGAGAGAGGUAGCUUGCUACUGAUCUUAGCGGCGGACGGGUGAGUAAUGCUUAGGAAUCUGCCUAUGAGUGGGGGACAACAUUUCGAAAGGAAUGCUAAUACCGCAUACGUCCUACGGGAGAAAGCAGGGGAUCUUCGGACCUUGCGCUAAUAGAUGAGCCUAAGUCGGAUUAGCUAGUUGGUGGGGUAAAGGCCUACCAAGGCGACGAUCUGUAGCGGGUCUGAGAGGAUGAUCCGCCACACUGGGACUGCGACACGGCCCAGACUCCUACGGGAGGCAGCAGUGGGGAAUAUUGGACAAUGGGCGCAAGCCUGAUCCAGCCAUGCCGCGUGUGUGAAGAAGGCCCUAUGGUUGUAAAGCACUUUAAGCGAGGAGGAGGCUACUUUAGAUAAUACCUAGAGAUAGUGGACGUUACUCGCAGAAUAACCACCGGCUAACUCUGUGCCAGCCGCCGCCGUAA
rnacentral:rRNA from 1 species